GACGUACGCUGGCGGCGUGCUUAACACAUGCAAGUCGAACGGAAAGGCCCUGCUUUUGUGGGGUGCUCGAGUGGCGAACGGGUGAGUAACACGUGAGUAACCUGCCCUUGACUUUGGGAUAACUUCAGGAAACUGGGGCUAAUACCGGAUAGGAGCUCCUGCUGCAUGGUGGGGGUUGGAAAGUUUCGGCGGUUGGGGAUGGACUCGCGGCUUAUCAGCUUGUUGGUGGGGUAGUGGCUUACCAAGGCUUCGACGGGUAGCCGGCCUGAGAGGGUGACCGGCCACAUUGGGACUGAGAUACGGCCCAGACUCCUACGGGAGGCAGCAGUGGGGAAUAUUGCACAAUGGGCGGAAGCCUGAUGCAGCAACGCCGCGUGCGGGAUGACGGCCUUCGGGGUGUAAACCGCUUUCGCCUGUGACGAAGCGUGAGUGACGGUAAUGGGUAAAGAAGCACCGGCUAACUACGUG
rnacentral:rRNA from 1 species